CCUAAAUAAAUAGAUUGUUUUUGUCUGUUUUUAAUUUGUAAACAUUUUUGUUUUCUUUGUAACAUCUUUCUUAUAGAUACUUAUAUAUUUAACCACCAUCAACACUAUGUCAGUCAUUUUGUGAUGAAUAAAUAAUGUGUCAGUAGGAUUAACUGGCUUUCCAGCUUCUCACAGGCUAGAGAUAGAAAGAGGGAAAUAGUAUGCUAAGCCCUGACAGACUGUCUUGAGUGUCUGUUCUUAACUAUGACCUCAGAGUCUUUCCACAUUGAAAAAAUAAGUGAAUCUCAGCUUUCUCUAUGACACAUAUAUAGUGAGUGCAAAGACUAAGGUUGUGAGAGAGUAAAAAAUAUUCCCCAUUGUUAUACACCUUACUUCACCACUUCCUGUUAUAGUCUGUUGUGGUGGUUUGAAUGAGAAUGACUCCCAUAGACUCAUGGUCUUGGCUACUCCUUCCCUACUUGGUGGAACUGCUUAGGAGGGAUUAGGAGGUAUGGCCUUUCUAGAGAAGGAGUGUCACUGGAGGCAGGCUUCGGGGUUACAAUAGUCUCGUACAUUCCCAGUGUACUCUCUGUCUCCUGCUUGUGGAUCAAGAUGUGACCUCUUAGCUGUUCCUGCUGCCAAGCCUUUGCUCUCGCAUCAUGGACUCUAACCCUCUAAAACUAUUAAGCCCAAUUAAAUACUUUCUUUCAUAUGUUACCUUGGUCAUAGUGCUUUAUCACAAAUAGAAUAGUUAUUAAUACACAAGAUGCUAGAUGACAACAUUUGGAUUUCUUUGAAGUUAUCGGAGCAUAUUUAGAUAAAAGUACUAGUAAGUACACAAUGAUAACGUUAUCCUUUCUUUGCUAUGAAAGAAGUAAGAAAACCACUUAAGGAAGGAAUUAUUUUUGGUGCAUGGUUUCAGGGGAUUCACUCCAUUGUCACUUCAAUAUCUUUCUUGUGAGCCAUCAUGUGAUUGAAGAAGAACAUUUGUGAACCUUGUGAUGAAACCUCCUGGAGGACAUUAUGCAGAGUGUAACAGUGGAGGAAUGAAAAAAAAUAAAAAAGGAGAGAAUUGAGGGAAGACAGGGAGGAAGGAAAUCUUUGGAGACAAGUUAAAGCCUCAGAUGAUACACAUAAUAGCUUAUUUCUUCAGCUGGGCCUGAAUUUCUAAUAAACCCAGCAAUAAAUUGAUCAUUUAAUUAAAAUAUCAGUCACUACACUGUUAUUAUAUAAUUACUUCUCACUUGCUCCACCUGGUGGUAAUAAAGGUUUCAACUCAUGAGCUUUUGGCGGGAGGAAGCACUUUCUAUGGAAAUUAUAAUAAUUUAAUGACAUGUUACUAGAUAGUGUUGCCAGAGAGUGUGUGUCGAUAUACCACCUAAAUGUACCUCUACUGAAAAGGAUACUGUAAUUUUACCACACCUGUGUAACCUUGAAGUGCUAAUCCAGGGUUAUAUGUGCACUCAAGUUUGAGACUUGUGGUGUACUAAAAGGAUGAAUUUUAUUUUUUAACUGAAUUCUUGAUUCUUAGUGUCUGUCUUAUGAGUGAGUGUGGGAUCCUAGAAUAGUCACUAUUUUAUAAUUUAUGCUUUGCUUCUUUGAAGAGUCUUUAUUAUUUUUUUCUGAGACUGGCUCUUACCAUGUCUCCCAGGCUGCUCUCUUGAUCUCAUACUCACUCUUCCUCGGCCUAGUGAGUGAGUGCUGGAAUUACAGGCAUGUGAUUUCACACUUUUCUUCAUAUUAGAGGAAAUAUUAGAUGAAGCGGAUGAGCUGGCUAUGAAGUUGGUGCCCAUGUUGGACCCAUUGGCUGGUGGCAGCGAGUUAGUUGUGACUGAGAACAGCAAAUGAGGCUCUAGGCUCUGAUGCUGGCUCUUCUUACCGACUUUCCAGCUUUAUACGAAUUCUUCAAUCUUUCAUUUACUCUCUUCUAUUCUAUAAGGAUAAUCAUGUGUAUGUCAUAUAGUAAACUCACUGCUUAAAGACCAAACUAACCAUUUGGUCACUUCCUAUUCACCAAAGUUCCUGGACAACAAUGCUAGAAUAACAUCUAUGAUUAUAAUUGUAAGGGAGCAGUCACCUUGGGAGCACCAAUUAUGUCAAUAAUAAUUGUAUGUUCGGGUCUGCUUGCCAGGUUCCAACACACUGUUGAAGUGGGAGUCGUCAAACUGGUUUCAGAAGUGUGGGAGACAAUGAAACAGCCAAAUGAAAGGUCACCCAUAAUCAAAAAGAAAUUUGCAGGAUUCACAUUUACAGAUUUAUUAAUAAAAUACUUUUGCUCUUCUUGCUCUAUUUUUCACCUUCUAUUUUACACCAGUUAAAUUGGUUGAAAAUAAAGAGAUACCAAAAGGUAGUUUGCCAUACAAAACAUAUGGAAGAAAGAGUUUGGGGUUGGAAAAUGAAGAGUUAGGCUAUUCAAGAAGGUGGCAUUGCUGGUGAGUUUCCUUUGGUGUGUGGGAACCAGAGAGUUUCCAAAUUUAGGAAAUUGUUCCUGGAAAACAAGACAGCACUACAGAGAAAACCAAUGAGAGAAUGAGUGUUCGGAGACUAUUGAUGAGUUUGGAUCACUGGAGCAGGCAGAGCUGAGUUAAUUCGUUGUUGAAGUUUCCAGCUCAUGUACUCAGGAGAAGCUAACGACUGAUUUAAAAAAUAAUAAACCUUUAAGGGGCUAAAGUAGAUGGCAACCUGUCCACUCUCUUUCUAACAGAACAGAACCUCAAACUGAAAUACUGAUUGACUUUUCUUUAGACCGUAGCUCUGCAAAGUCUUAUUUUACUUCUCUUAUUCAAAUUGACUUUGGUGCCUUUGUGUUUGAUCACAGACAUGCAUAGGACUACAAAUUCAGCAAACGUCUCUGUAAAUGGUUGGGUCUUAAACUACAAUCCAAGGGUUAAAGAAUCAUUCAAAGCCCUUUCAGAAGGCACCCAAGACCAAGCCUGGUGAUGUGAGUUCAUGCCCCAGACUCACAUGGUAGAAGGAGAAAACCAAGGUCUGUACACCUUCCACUGUAAAAAUAAUGUCAAAAGUGACUGACUACAAAUAAAACUCCAUAUAUGAGAAGAACAAACAAAAUAACUGUGUAUUUUAAAUGCCAAUGAAAAGAAACCAUUACAAAAUUCUAAAUAUUUAAACAUCCCAAGACUUCUGCUGCAGUGAAUAUCUACAGUUAUAUUUGGAAAUAGAUGGGAAAUGUCCUUGCUCCUGUCAAUCUUUGAGAGAAUGGAGAAGUGGACCACUCUGGUAGUGUAGUUCUAUCUGAAGCUCCAGGUUGCAUUUGCCCAGUCUCCCAGGUCGAAUCUACACUUUGUAGAACUGAAACUUUACCAACAGAAGGUCCUUCAUUAACACAAGAUGUAUCACAUCUGUUCUGCAGUAGUCCAUCCAUAAAAAAAAAAUACCAGCUUUGUACACCCACUCAUACCUUCUGCAUCCCUGUAAUAAGUAAGCAGGAAUAUGUCCAAGAGAAUGCAAAAAUAUACAACAAAUGAAAAAAAAUGCUGAAAUUUUGGGUAAAUUUUUACUUCUAUUCUAUUUGCAUUGUUAUUUUUCUUUAUGCUGUGACAAAGGAGCUUAAAAAAGAAUUUGUUUUAUGACACAGUUGGAGAGGGUACAGGCCAUCAUGGUGAGAAAGGCAUGGAAGAUCUGGUGGAAACAUUCAGCUGUGACUCCUCACAUCUGUGUAGACCAGAAAGCAGAGAACAGGAUCCAUGAUGGCUCAACAUGUCCAUGUGCACUUCUGGUGUCUGGCAUAGUAGCCCUGAUAUCUUUGCCAAGGGCAGCAACAGAGGACUCUCCCAGUGUUUCCAAUAAGAAGUAGUUCCAACUCUAUUUAGAGGAGACUGAAGCUCCUCAAAUUUACUGGAAGCAGAAUAGAUCUUGCCUUCCAUCUCUAUUUACAUGACUUAUACAACUUUAUUCUUUUUUCUUUGAGUGUAUUUAUUGAGCUCUAACACUGAAGGCACCUUCACAGUUGCAUUUAGGUUUAUAAAUAACAUUGAGAAAACAAAAACAUUUUACAAAGAUUUCAAUUGAUGUGAUUUAUUUAAUAUUGAAACAAGUAGGAUACAGUGUGAAAGAAAUGCUAUUCCAUCACUCAUGCACUGAUCUACAAUGUGCUACCAUGUUCAGCAUUUCAGUCCUAGAUGUGGGAAGCCACAGCAUUCUCCUCCUUCACAGCUUGUGACACAUUUGUGAACCCAGCUCUCAAAGCACCAUCUGUGGCUUCUAACCUCUCAGAUUUGUUGUUGAAUGUGUCCUUCUCUUACUCUAGGAGGCACAGAACUUAGCCCAUUUCACACCACUGCAACCAUACGAGCUCUCACUCCCCCAUGUUCUUCAAUGCAGAACUCUUCCUGAUAGGCACAGAAAACUUCUUGUUUGUGUCAAUAAAAGUUGAAGAUUGAGGGGUGAAUACACAGAAAUUAACAGACCAAGAUCAGUGGAGGUGUUAUAUUUGCUAACCACAGUACCAGCAAGAUCUACUCCCAUUCAAUUAGUUCCUUAAAAGGACUCACUGAUUGCAAUGUUCAAGUGACCUAUGUUCUGGUUACUUCAGGCAGUGAAUAAGAACACUGUGAGAGCACUGAUGCAAAGGUAGGCAUUGUCAUCAAGCCAGAACUCCACAGAUGCCCUUGAACAAAGGGAGCUGGAAAAGGAGAAAGGGGGGGACAGAGAAAGACAGACAGUGAAGAAAGCAGAGAGAGAGAGAGAGAGAGAGAGAGAGAGAGAGAGAGAGAGAGAGAGAGAGAGAAGAAUGGCAGGAGGAAAGGAGAGAAAGAAAGGAAGGAAGAGUGAGAGACAGAAAUGUUAUGUGAUGGCUACCACAAAUAAAUAGACAUCUGCUCCUCCUUUUUAGUCUUUAUCCUCCUGUUUAUUCCCUUUUUGGUCUUUUGUUUAUUUCUUUCUUCUCUCUCCCAAGUUUCUACUUCUGCAUGACAAAUUUGUUUCCCCAGAUUAAUACUACUGGCUUCUGAGUAUCCAAAAUAAUUAAUUAUCCUUAUGAAUAAUAUAGAAAAAAAUGAUAUUAUGGAAUCAUGAAAUAAAUUGCUUCAUUCUGAUCCCAAGCCUUACUGCUUACAAACAGUAUGUUGUUAGGUGAGUUAUUUGAUUUCUUUGUGUCUGUUUCUUUAGUCUAAAAUAGGAGUAAUGUCCUUAUGCAUCUCAGAUUACAUUGUUGGAGUACAAAGGAUAGAUUAUCUGAUUUAAAGUCAAUAAAAUAAUGCUUGGUAGAUCUUAAUUAGUUCGGUAUCAAUAGCUGUUUGACAACAUAAUUAAGUUAAAAUAAUAGGAUUUUUGGUAUCUUACAAUACUCUUUUUGAGCAUUCUAUACAUAUAUACAGUGUGUUUUGAUCGUAUCUAUCCUUUACUUUUCUGUUCCUCCCAGACACCCCCCUCUGAUAUCAUGUCAUCUCCUUUAUUAUGUUUUUAUAAUCGACUAAGUCUAAUUAAUAUUGCCCAUAUGUCCAUGGGCAUACAGCCAUCUACUAGAGCAAAGGAAACCUAAUGGGUCACAUACAUGUAGAAAACUGACUCUCCUCUCUCAUCCUUCAGCAGCCACCAACAGUCAAUAGCUCUUAACUAGUGAUACUUAAAUAACAAAACAAUCUUUGUUUCAGUUAGGUGCAUAUAAUAAAAAAAUAUUUGCAACCUUAUAUUUGUAUAAACAUUCAUAAAGCCUUGUGACACACAAAAUUUGCAAUGCUAUUUCUACUUUAUAAAAGAUUCAGAAAAUUGUAGAUCCAGAAAUUGUGGAAUGCUUAAAACAAUAAAUUCACUCUAUAUCUUACCUGAUCCUUUGCAGCACAAAUACAAUUUUCUGCCAAAAUAUUGUGUUUGUUUCCUAUGUCCAAUAUAUUCUACAAUUAAAUAUCUAUGCUGUAUUAUUUUAAGGAAAUUGCAAAUAACACUAUGUUGUAUUUUUAUUGUUCUCA